UCCAGACUCCUACGGGAGGCAGCAGUGGGGGAUAUUGCACAAUGGGGGAAACCCUGAUGCAGCGACGCCGCGUGAGUGAAGAAGUAUUUCGGUAUGUAAAGCUCUAUCAGCAGGGAAGAAAAAAGACGGUACCUGACUAAGAAGCCCCGGCUAACUACGUGCCAGCAGCCGCGGUAAUACGUAGGGGGCAAGCGUUAUCCGGAUUUACUGGGUGUAAAGGGAGCGUAGACGGCAAUACAAGUCGGAAGUGAAAUACCCGGGCUCAACCUGGGAAUUGCUUUGGAAACUGUAUGGCUGGAGUGCUGGAGAGGUAAGCGGAAUUCCUAGUGUAGCGGUGAAAUGCGUAGAUAUUAGGAGGAACACCAGUGGCGAAGGCGGCUUACUGGACAGUAACUGACGUUGAGGCUCGAAAGCGUGGGGAGCAAACAGGAUUAGAUACCCGGGUA
rnacentral:rRNA from 1 species